rnacentral:rRNA from 1 species
UACAGAGGGUGCGAGCGUUAAUCGGAGUUACUGGGCGUAAAGGGCGCGUAGGUGGGAUAAUAAGUUGGAUGUGAAAUCCCCGGGCUUAACCUGGGAACUGCAUUUGUGACUGCAUGGCUAGAGUGCGGCAGAGGGGGAUGGAAUUCCGCGUGUAGCAGUGAAAUGCGUAGAUAUGCGGAGGAACACCGAUGGCGAAGGCAAUCCCCUGGGCCUGCACUGACGCUCAUGCACGAAAGCGUGGGGAGCAAACAGG